rnacentral:lncRNA from 1 species
AUUCAUUUUAAAAGAUUUCAGUUUUUCGAUUGUCAUUUUUUUUCUUUUAUAGAUAUAUAUCCUCCUCUCUCUUGCUCUCUAAAGCCUCCCAGCCUCUCCUUCACACUACUCGUGUCUCUCUUUUAAGCCAUUCCAGCCGCUCCUUCAUGCCACUCCAAUGCAAUUCCUUGUUCUUCCUUGCCUUCCUGUGGUGAUCGAAAAAGGAUUACCUCCGCCUUGUCUAGUCUUGUCCCUCUAUCAGUUCUCCAUUCUUGACCUCAAAUCUGUAGAGUCCUCACAAUUGAUUGUUGAUUGAAUCGUCCCAGAUUGAUUUGGUUCAUCAAUUUGAAGAGGUUGUCAACAAAGAUCAAUUAGCCAUUCACAACCUUCUCAUUCCCAAAAUAGAAUCCCAUUAUCCCAAUAAAAUUUACAACUACAAAAUAAUUAAAUGCACAAUUUCAAUUUGCAACACUGAGAAAUAAAAAAUCUUAAUCAAUAAAAGAUUUCAUAGCCCACUAGAUUUUCAAAACAGAAUCCCCAUUAUCCACAACUACAAAAUCACCACAUGCACAAUCUCAAUUUUAAUUACAAUUUGCAAUACUAAAAACUCAUAGAAUUUAAGCAAUUAAAGAAGAGUGAAUGAUUUGCUUAAAAAUAAAUCACACGAACGACAUCAUUGAGACCCUAGCAUAGCGAUUGAAUCUAGAAGUGAAUGGCCUUACCUUGAGCAACUUAGCAGCCACUAACGAUGAUGCAGAAAGAAGAGGAGGAGGAAAAAAAUGAAUCACACGAACGACAUCGUUGAGACCAUAGCAUAGCGAUUGAAUCUAGAAGUGAAUGGCCUUAC